rnacentral:rRNA from 1 species
UACGUAGGUGGCAAGCGUUGUCCGGAUUUACUGGGCGUAAAGAGCGCGCAGGCGGUUAAUUAAGUCGAAUGUGAAAGCCCCCGGCUCAACUGGGGAGGGUCAUUCGAUACUGAUCAACUUGAAGGCAGGAGAGGGUAGUGGAAUUCCCGGUGUAGUGGUGAAAUGUGUAGAUAUCGGGAGGAACACCAGUGGCGAAGGCGACUACCUGGCCUGUUCUUGACGCUGAGGCGCGAAAGCUGGGGGAGCAAACGGG